rnacentral:lncRNA from 1 species
CCUCUCCUCCUCCAAAAAACAACCAGCCCUUAGUGGAAACCUAAAUGACAAUGAGUUCUGUAUUUGUUUGCUUUCAGGUGUGCCCCAGGCUCAUGUUUGACCUGAAUGUCCCAGGUUUGCCAUCAGGUGUCCGGUCUGGGAGCUUUGCGUGAGGGCAGCUCCUACGCUGAGACUGCCAGAACUGGAAGGAGCAGUUGGAUGUUCCCGGUUUUGGGGUCGGAUGGAGCUGUCUAUGAUAUGAACAGUUUCUGGAAGGUCAACAAACCCUGUUGAAUACACUGGAAUGACCAAGCUGAAUGUUACAGAAAGCCAUUGAGCAGGUACACCGGACUGAGGAAAAGAAAAGAGUGGGACAAGAAAACAGUGGAAAAAAUCACAGAAGGUAAGAGAAAUGGAAAAAAAAGUGAAAUUUAUAAAGUCAUAUAAACAAAGGCUUUGGCUUCAAGCACUCCUCAGCUUUGGG